rnacentral:rRNA from 1 species
UACGUAGGGUGCAAGCGUUGUCCGGAAUUAUUGGGCGUAAAGGGCUCGUAGGCGGUCCAUCGCGUCGGGAGUGAAAAGCUGGGGCUUAACCCCAGUCCUGCUUCCGAUACGGGUGGACUAGAGGUAGGUAGGGGAGAACGGAAUUCCUGGUGUAGCGGUGAAAUGCGUAGAGAUCGGGAGGAACAUCAGUUGCGAAGGCGGCUCUCUGGACCAGCACUGACACUGAGGCACGAAAGCGUGGGGAGCAAACAGG